GCGCGAGUGGCGGAAUGGUAGACGCGCUGGCUUCAGGUGCCAGUGUCCUUACGGGCGUGGGGGUUCAAGUCCCCCCUCGCGCA
rnacentral:tRNA from 3 species